GCAGUAUCUCCUGUUUCCGGAGCUGAGACCGGCAGCCUCUGCCUGAUUUAUUGAAGGAGCAAGAGGAUCCCAGUUUCCGCGCUAACACGCAGCUGUCACAUCUAGUUGGAGACAGCCACUUCUUCCCAGCUGUUUACCUGCUCUGGCAAGAAGGCACCCUAUUCCAAAAGCGAGUAGGCUGGAGGAGGAGUCUGCAUGGUGCUUGCUGCAGGUAAAACCAGUUUUUAGUUCUCUUUUCUAACCAGCCAACCACCUCACCUACUUACAGGUCAAUUUUGUUUGGAAAUGAAUGCUAAGGAAAGCAUCGACUGAUCACUCCAGGUAGCAGUCUCACAACAUCAAUCUAUUGAUUUUUCACUGUAUGGGGUGAAGAAGAAACCACCAAGUCAGAUUGAAUGGCAAUGAAACUCUGGGAGUGCUAAAGCUGUGUCUCUGAAGCAUGACAUAGAUGCAGAAUUACAGAAUGGAUCUUGCUUCAGUUUGAUUGCUUCUUUAUGCCUCUUGUUUGAAGAUAACUUCAGCAAUCCCACUGGACUGACCGCUGGACUGGCAAAACUGCAUGAGAUGCUGUUUCUGUGGAGGACUGAGAAGACAGUUGAAAUAUUGGUCUUUUCUUUCAUUGAAAGGUAAGGGUACUAUUGCAAGUGUUGACUUUGAUUCUGAACUUUUGGUAACUUUUCUUCCUUUUACUUUAUUCAUCUACCUUUUGUUAAAAAAAAACACUUUAAUGAGCUUAUCUUUUUAAAUCACUAUGACAGUUUUGGAUUGCAUUGUAUUCUUAUAUUUUUUCAAAGGAGAAAGAAGACAGUGAAAGAAGAAAACAGCUUCUUUCUUUGGGCAAUGACACUAAUCACAGGAUGUUGUGUGACUCGACCUGAAUCUUAGUUAAGGAGGCCCUCAGAGGGAAGCCUGUGAGAUGCUGCUUGGGGUCAGGAGAAUGCGGCUGCUCUGAUACCCAAGUUGGUGAUUUCUAUAUAGAGGAUGUCAGUCUGAAUCCUCAGGGACUUGCUAGCUUAAUGUUUAGUCUAGCUUAUGAGGCACAUUGACGACACUGUGCUGAUAGCUCUUGCUGUACGGCUGGGCUCCUUGUAAUUUGUAGUGGACAUUUGGGAAGUGUGAGUCUCAGUGAAGUAGGACAAACUUAAAUGUAGGAAUCUGGUUGUAGGUGUCAGACUUGAGCACGUGGAGGAUAACCAAGAGAAAGUUUCCUCAUGUGGAAUAAACAACAUAGUUGGAACUUGGAGAAUGCUUAAGAGACAGAUGCACUAAGCAUUUCUCGUUCUUCUGACUCUAUCCCGAGAGAGAAAGCUCAUUUCAAAUCCCAUUUGCCAUGGAUGACUGAUGUUAUUAACAGUCUCUGCUUAUAGAUUUUUGUGGGGGGUGAGACAAUUUUCUUUUUUAUCCUGCUGUCUCCUUGUGUAAAGCACGGUUAUUGACACUGCAUCAACUUCGUUGUCCUGAGUAAGAAUGGACUGAUGUCCACCAUUACUAGCAUUGCUGGCAAUGACCAAUUUGGACAUGGUGAAUGAUGUAGGCAAAAUUGUCUCCAUUAAUGCUGUGCAUCUCAGUGGUGAGAUAUUUCUUGGAAAUAAUAUUGUAGCCUGACUGGGCAAGUUCAGAAACAGUGAAUAGUAUAAAUUGGUCAUUUAAAAAAUCUCAGCUUUCUUUAUUUUCACACAUUUCCUUUCUGAAAUGCCAAACCCAG
rnacentral:lncRNA from 1 species